GUCUUCUGUUCCUUGCGUUUCUGGGCUCUCAUGUCUUUCUUGAGACGGCUGUCCACUACUUUGAAAUGACCUUUGACUCCCGCAGGGCGCCUUACCUUCCGGCCAGCACCUUUCUUGGACACAACGACUAUGCUUUGUCUCUUAUAUGAAACUUGGCUCCCAGGAACCUGGCCUUCAGCUAUAAAAUCAUGUUUAUCAAAAAGCCAGAAAAUGGACUGAUAUAACUGAAGAAGAAGCUAAGCGGGUCUAGGCUUAGCCAGUAUUUGGAUGACUGGCUCAUUUCAUUAAAGCAGAGCUUGUCUUGUGA